rnacentral:rRNA from 1 species
UACGUAGGGGGCAAGCGUUAUCCGGAUUUACUGGGUGUAAAGGGAGCGUAGACGGUACGCCAAGUCUGAAGUGAAAUGCCGCAGCUUAACUGCGGAACUGCUUUGGAAACUGCCAGGCUAGAGUGUCGGAGAGGUAAGUGGAAUUCCUAGUGUAGCGGUGAAAUGCGUAGAUAUUAGGAGGAACACCAGUGGCGAAGGCGGCCGCCUGGCCUGUUACUGACGCUGAGGCACGAAAGCGUGGGGAGCAAAUAGG